rnacentral:rRNA from 1 species
UACAGAGGUGGCAAGCGUUGUUCGGAAUUACUGGGCGUAAAGGGCGCGUAGGCGGUCUUGUAAGUCCCGUGUGAAAUCCCUCGGCUCAACUGAGGAACUGCACGGGAAACUGCCUGGCUUGAGUUCGGGAGAGGGAAGCGGAAUUCCGGGUGUAGCGGUGAAAUGCGUAGAUAUCCGGAGGAACACCGGUGGCGAAGGCGGCUUCCUGGACCGACACUGACGCUGAGGCGCGAAAGCUAGGGGAGCAAACAGG